GAUGAACGCUGGCGGCGUGCUUAACACAUGCAAGUCGAACGGAAAGGCCCAAGCUUGCUUGGGUACUCGAGUGGCGAACGGGUGAGUAACACGUGGGUGAUCUGCCCUGCACUUCGGGAUAAGCCUGGGAAACUGGGUCUAAUACCGGAUAGGACCACUUCUUGGAUGUUGUGGUGGAAAGUUUUUUCGGUGUGGGAUGAGCUCGCGGCCUAUCAGCUUGUUGGUGGGGUAAUGGCCUACCAAGGCGUCGACGGGUAGCCGGCCUGAGAGGGUGUACGGCCACAUUGGGACUGAGAUACGGCCCAGACUCCUACGGGAGGCAGCAGUGGGGAAUAUUGCACAAUGGGCGCAAGCCUGAUGCAGCGACGCCGCGUGGGGGAUGACGGCCUUCGGGUUGUAAACUCCUUUCGCUAGGGACGAAGCGUUUUGUGACGGUACCUGGAGAAGAAGCACCGGCUAACUACGUGCCAGCCGCCGCAGUAAAAC
rnacentral:rRNA from 1 species